CAGUCGCCACGGUAAUACGUAGGUGGCAAGUGUUGUCCGGAAUUAUUGGGCGUAAAGGGCUCGCAGGCGGUUUCUUAAGUCUGAUGUGAAAGCCCCCGGCUCAACCGGGGAGGGUCAUUGGAAACUGGGAAACUUGAGUGCAGAAGAGGAGAGUGGAAUUCCACGUGUAGCGGUGAAAUGCGUAGAGAUGUGGAGGAACACCAGUGGCGAAGGCGACUCUCUGGUCUGUAACUGACGCUGAGGAGCGAAAGCGUGGGGAACGAACAGGAUUAGAGACCCCCGUAGUCCCUGUCUCUUAUAA
rnacentral:rRNA from 1 species